UUACGACCAUAUCACGUUGAAACACCAGUUGUCGUUCGAUCACUGAAGUUAAGCAACGUCGAGCCUGAUCAGUACUUAGAUGGAUGACCGCUCGGGAAUACCAGGUGCUAU